AGUGCCAUCGAAGUCCCCAGAUCUUCUGGACUGGCAGAAGGAGGGAUGAGAUUGAUAACCCGGGAUAAUAGCUCGGGCUGGCGGAAAGCUGAAGGGAACUCUUUCCAUCAAAAGGUGUCCUCCAGCUGGACACAUCCCAGGCCACGGCAGGGCCUAGUGCGGUCCUUUGUUUCAGAGAGAACUGUGAUCUCAGUAAGGCCUGAAGCUCUCAGUGCCGGUGGAAACCUCCUUCCAGGGAGGGGGAAGGGCUCCAUGGCUGGCCACGAGUCAGCGGAUGCUAAACCUGGUCGCUCAGUGGAGAGGUGGCAAGUCUGGAGUCUGAUUUGCUUUUGUGUCCUGGUUUUGCUGCCUGUAUCUUAUAAGAUCUUGGGAUGCCCCAGUCUCCAUAGGCCUGAACUGAAGCCAUCCUCAAGCCUUGGUUUGAGCCCAGCCUGA
rnacentral:lncRNA from 1 species